rnacentral:rRNA from 1 species
UACGUAGGGGGCCAGCGUUGUUCGGAAUUACUGGGUGUAAAGGGUUCGUAGGCGGCGCGGCAAGUCGGGAGUGAAAUCUCUGGGCUCAACCCAGAGUCUGCUUCCGAAACUGCUGUGCUUGAGUGUGGGAGAGGCGCGUGGAAUUGCAGGUGUAGCGGUGAAAUGCGUAGAUAUCUGCAGGAACACCCGUGGCGAAAGCGGCGCGCUGGACCACUACUGACGCUGAGGAACGAAAGCUAGGGGAGCAAACAGG